GAUGAAGAACGUAGCGAAAUGCGAUAAGUAAUGUGAAUUGUAGAAUUCAGUGAAUCAUCGAAUCUUUGAACGCACCUUGCGCUCCUUGGUAUUCCGAGGAGCAUGCCUGUUUGAGUGUCAUGAAAUUCUCAACCUUUUCAGCUUUCUUUGUUGAUCAGGCUUGGAUGUGGGAGUAUGCGGGCUUCUCAGAAGUCGGCUCUCCUGAAAUGCAUUAGCGGGACCUUUGUUGCCUGGCUUUGGUGUGAUAAUUAUCUACGCCAUUGUAGUCAAGCAGCUUAAAAUGAGGUUUCAGCUUCUAACCGUCUCCCCUGAGACAACUUUUUGACAAUUUGACCUCAAAUCAGGUAGGACUACCCGCUGAACUUAAGCAUAUCAAUAAGCGGAGGA
rnacentral:misc_RNA from 1 species